UACGUAGGGUGCAAGCGUUAAUCGGAAUUACUGGGCGUAAAGCGUGCGCAGGCGGCUGUGCAAGACAGAUGUGAAAUCCCCGGGCUUAACCUGGGAACUGCAUUUGUGACUGCACGGCUAGAGUGCGGCAGAGGGGGAUGGAAUUCCGCGUGUAGCAGUGAAAUGCGUAGAUAUGCGGAGGAACACCGAUGGCGAAGGCAAUCCCCUGGGCCUGCACUGACGCUCAUGCACGAAAGCGUGGGGAGCAAACACG
rnacentral:rRNA from 1 species